UUGUUACUCCCUCCGUUCCAAAAUAACUGUCUCAACUUUGUAUUAGCUCUAAUACAAAGUUGUAUUAAGCUUGAGACAGUUAUUUUGGAACGGAGGGAGUAUAUU
rfam:Hordeum vulgare subsp. vulgare, WGS project CAJW01000000 data, contig: morex_contig_1562644